CGGUAAUACGUAGGUGGCAAGCGUUGUCCGGAAUGAUUGGGCGUAAAGGGAGCGCAGGUGGGAAAGUAAGUCCCUCUUAAAAGUUCGGGGCUCAACCCCGUGAUGGGAGAGAAACUACAUUUCUUGAGUGCAGGAGAGGAAAGCGGAAUUCCUAGUGUAGCGGUGAAAUGCGUAGAUAUUAGGAGGAACACCAGUGGCGAAGGCGGCUUUCUGGACUGUAACUGACACUGAGGCUCGAAAGCCAGGGGAGCGAACGGGAUUAGAUACCCCGGUAGUCCUGGCCGUAAACGAUGGAUACUAGGUGUGGGANGUAUCGACCCCUUCCGUGCCGGANUUAACGCAAUAAGUAUCCCGCCUGGGGAGUACGGUCGCAAGACUGAAACUCAAAGGAAUUGACGGGAACCCCACAACCACCGNACAUGUGGUUAAUUC
rnacentral:rRNA from 1 species